rnacentral:rRNA from 1 species
CAGUAGCCGCGGGAAAACGUAGGGUGCAAGCGUUGUCCGGAAUUAUUGGGCGUAAAGAGCUCGUAGGCGGCUAGUCGCGUCGGCUGUGAAAACCUGGGGCUCAACCCCGGGCCUGCAGCCGAUACGGGCUAGCUAGAAUUCGGUAGGGGAGACUGGAAUUCCUGGUGUAGCGGUGAAAUGCGCAGAUAUCAGGAGGAACACCGGUGGCGAAGGCGACUCUCUGGUCUGUAACUGACGCUGAGGAGCGAAAGCGUGGGGAGCGAACAGGAUUAGAUACCCGCGUAGUCCCUGUCUCUUAUAC